rnacentral:rRNA from 1 species
GAUGAACGCUAGCUACAGGCUUAACACAUGCAAGUCGAGGGGUAACGAGAGGAAAGCUUGCUUUCCUUGUCGACGACCGGCGCACGGGUGAGUAACGCGUAUCCAACCUGCCCCCAACUAGGGAAUAACCUUGCGAAAGUAAGACUAAUGCCCUAUAAUUUCCUCAGAUGCCAUCUGACGAGGAAUAAAGAUUUAUCGGUUGUGGAUGGGGAUGCGUCUGAUUAGCUUGUUGGCGGGGUAACGGCCCACCAAGGCAACGAUCAGUAGGGGUUCUGAGAGGAAGGUCCCCCACAUUGGAACUGAGACACGGUCCAAACUCCUACGGGAGGCAGCAGUGAGGAAUAUUGGUCAAUGGGCGGAAGCCUGAACCAGCCAAGUAGCGUGCAGGAUGACGGCCCUAUGGGUUGUAAACUGCUUUUAUACAGGAAUAAAGUGCACCACGUGUGGUGUUUUGCAAGUACCUGAAGAAUAAGGAUCGGCUAACUCCGUGCCAGCCGCCGCGGUAACAC